rnacentral:misc_RNA from 1 species
AAUGAUUCCUUAUUACUUAUAUUUAUAUAAUUUUAAGCCAUCGUGCGAUUAAAUAUAUAAAUAUAAAUUAGCAAACCCGGCUGGCGCAUCAAUUUGGCGUCAUUUGUAUUAUGGGUUAUAUAGUACAAAAUCGAUACGUUGUGUUAUCACAGGCAAAGACACUGGAAAAUGUUAAUAUUAUGAAAUAAAAAAGAAAUCCAGAUGGGGACCUCAGGUGUCAUUGUUCAGUGAAAUGUAUUGUGUGUGUGCAGUAUUGUAUGACGUAUUUAAUGUCUGAUGUUAAAUUUUCAUGACAGUGUAACCCUCAGUUUCAAAUACCAGUACUUACUUGUUAUUGAGGAUUGGUUUGUAUGAAAACAUUAAAUGUUAAGAUUA